ACAAAGAAGAGUUUGAUCCUGGCUCAGGAUGAACGCUAGCGGCAGGCUUAACACAUGCAAGUCGAGGGGCAGCGCGCGGGUAGCAAUACCUGUGGCGGCGACCGGCGGAAGGGUGCGUAACACGUGA
rnacentral:rRNA from 1 species